GUAAGCAUAGUUUAAUUAAAACCCUAGAUUGUGAAUCUAGUAAUAGAAACUUAAUCCUUCUUGCUUACC
rnacentral:tRNA from 1 species